rnacentral:rRNA from 1 species
GGGAAUAUUGCACAAUGGGGGAAACCCUGAUGCAGCGACGCCGCGUGAGUGAAGAAGCGCCUCGGCGCGUAAAGCUCUGUCAGCAGGAACGAUAAUGACGGUACCUGAAGAAGAAGCCCCGGCUAACUACGGGCCAGCCGCCGCGGUAAUACGUAGGGGGCAAGCGUUAUCCGGAUUUACUGGGUGUAAAGGGAGCGUAGACGGCGGGGCAAGUCUGGAGUGAAAGGCCGGGGCCCAACCCCGGGACCGCUCUGGAAACUGCCCGGCUGGAGUGCGGGAGAGGUAAGCGGAAUUCCUAGUGUAGCGGUGAAAUGCGUAGAUAUUAGGAGGAACACCAGUUGCGAAGGCGGCUCUCUGGACUGUAACUGACACUGAGGCACGAAAGCGUGGGGAGCG